rnacentral:lncRNA from 1 species
UAAGAAGAACAAGUUCUGGAACAAGGUUAAGUCUAGUCUGGGAUUUGGAAGUGGCUCAAGCUCUGGUGCGGAUAAUGCAGCUUGUGCGAGGUGUGGUAAGCCACACAAGGGAGUAUGUCGGUUUGGGACGAACGCCUGUUUUAGAUGUGGUCAGGAGGGGCAUAUGGCUCGAGAUUGUCCAAGAACAGCCCCAAUGGCUCAGUCCCAGCAGACAGCUUCAGGCAGUGUAGCGCAGCCAGCAGCUCCAGCCAUGACUCAGGCCAGUGGCAGAGGCAGAGGGAGAGG